rfam:'Echinacea purpurea' witches'-broom phytoplasma strain NCHT2014 contig_04, whole genome shotgun sequence.
GAAAGCCGGAUGCUUGGAAACUUGCUUGUCCGGUUUGGACGGGGGCUGAUUGUAAAUAAAACAGCAAAGAUAAAUCGCUGAAUAAAACGCAAUUAAUCUAUCCGUAU